AUGAGAGACAACCCUUUGCAACCAAUCUCGCUUUGUAGCGUUCAACGUUCCCAUUCGGAUUCAGUUUUGUUUUGAACACCCAUUUGCAUCCUACGGGUUUGACACUGAUGGGUAAUUCUACCAAAUUCCAAACGUCAUUUUUCUUCAUGGAUUCAAGCUCAUAAAUCAUUGGUUUAUUCCAUUCAGAAGACUAAUCACUGCUAAUGGCUUUUUUGUAAGAGAUAGGAUUAUUGAGCUUUCCGGGAUCCAUUUCAGUCAGGUAGGUAACAUAAUCAUCCCAAUUAGUAGGCCUUCUUUGCCUAGAUGACAACCUGAGUGGAUUAUCGGGUUCAGCGCUGUCUUGGUUUUGAGCGUUUGAUGUGCCUUCGUCAUGAGGUAUAAUGGGUUCUGAUUGUGGAGGUAAAUUUGGAGUUGGCGCAGUAGCUUCAGGUACAGUAGUUGCAUUAGGUACAAGAGGAGUAAUCGAAGUAAUGGUAAGCGACGAGUCUCUCCCCUCCGCGUCUUGUACUUCUUGUAAUUCUUCGUAAGGGUUGGUACUGCUCCCACUGACCUUGAAAUCCUCCAGGAACGCAGCACGCUUGGUUUCAACAAUACAGGUGACGUGGGAAGAACAAUAGAAAUGAUAACCCUUUGAAUUAUCAGGAUACCCGAUAAAGAAACAGGUAACUAUUUUAGGGUCAAGUUUCCUUAGGAAAGGAUCAUAAAGUUUUGCUUCAGCAAUGCAGCCCCAUACUUUCAUAUAUUUAAGACUCGGUUUCCUUCCUGUCCAAAGUUCAUAAGUAGUUUUAGGGACAGACUUAGAAGGAACUCUAUUGAGUAUAUGAACAGCUGCUUUUAACGCUUCAGUCUAGAGUAAUAAUGGUAAAUUAGUGUUGGCUAAUGAUGUGUGCGAGUGUGUAUAUAAGUUUAAGUAUAUUUUAAGCCCUUUUUACACGUUAGUCAAGUUUUAAAUUUAUAAAACACGAUAUUUUACUAACACCAAACACACAUAUGGGCAAGUGCACCCAUCGUGAGCGUAGUAUAGUGUUGGCAAGAUACCGAGGUCGUCCAAGGACACAAGAGCUUUUAGUACCGGUUUAUCCUCAACGU
rnacentral:lncRNA from 1 species